CUGAGUUCGUGCCCGAAGUGGCCUGGGGCUGGUGCUAAUGGGAAGGCAUGAUCAGUUCUAUAACUAUCUUUAAUAAGUAUUAUUUUAAUGUCAGUUUUUGCUUCUCUUCUAAAUUUAUUGUAUCAUAUUAAAGGAGGAAUUGUUCUUAGUUUAUGUUUUGUGGAAAGAAUGCUUUUAUUGGGUGAAUAGAUUUAAAUGAAUCAAAUUUUAAGAAUUCUUGAACUAGAAAACAUUGUUUCUACUUUUAGUUUAUAUCCCUAAGUUAAGUUCACAUAUUAAACUUGUUGAACAUUCUCUAAAUGAAAUAUGAGGAUGUAAGGAAAUGUCUUUUUAAAGAAAUUGAAUAGUAUUAUGAAAAAUAUUUGGUUAUAUAUUUAGAAAGUUUCCCUCCUUCUUAGGUUUAUUUCAAAAGUUGAAGUCUUGAAUGACUGGAAACUGAUUGGGUGCUCUCCAGGAAAGCCACUGGAAAAGGAGUCAAACUCAGAUCUUCUGGCAUCUUGCUGGCUCUAAGGUUCUUCUUUUUCAAUAUCCACUGUGAUGUGACCAGUGAUCAGAUGAAAUUUCCUUUGCUGACUUAUCACUAUCUUAUACAAGAGUCUCUGGAUAAAGAAAGAAAGGAUGAAGAAUCAGAGGCCAGGUACCAUUGUUUGUCCAAAUACAUCACAAAUGGCAAUGAAUGUACAUGGGAGAAUAUCAGGGUCCUGGUGUUCAAACUGACUUUGAAACGGUUCAUCUUCAAAAAGUGCCAGGUCAGUACACUCAUUUGUCAGACCUGCAA
rnacentral:lncRNA from 1 species